UNCCAAGUAAAGACAAAGCACCUGCGCUG
rnacentral:piRNA from 1 species